rnacentral:rRNA from 1 species
GUAGUAUUAAUGAAAUUUAACGGAUUUGGCGGCAAGAUAACCAUUUAGAGGAACCUGCCCUAUAAACGAUGAACCACGAAAAUCUUACUUUUUUUAGAAAUCAGUUUGUAUACCGUUGUUGGCAGUUAGUUUCUCUAGAAAACUUUCAUUUAUGAAAUAUUCACUGACUUCAAGUAAAGGUGCAGCUUAUAGAAAAGGUAGAGGUGGGUUACAUUUAAAAGAAUAACACGGAUAAAGUUAUUGAAAUUAGCUUUUGAAGGUGGAUUUAAUUGUAAAGUUUAAUAAAACUUGAUAUGAGCUCUGUCUUGUGUACACACCGCCCGUCGCU